rnacentral:rRNA from 1 species
AACGCUAGCUACAGGCUUAACACAUGCAAGUCGAGGGGAAACGAUAUUGGAAGCUUGCUUCCGAUAGGCGUCGACCGGCGCACGGGUGAGUAACGCGUAUCCAACCUGCCCAUUACCACGGGAUACCCCGUCGAAAGGCGGCCUAAUACCGUAUGCAGUCGUCAGAUGACAUCAGAGGACGACGAAAGGAUUGGCGGUAAUGGAUGGGGAUGCGUCUGAUUAGGUAGUUGGCGGGGUAACGGCCCACCAAGCCUUCGAUGGAUAGGGGUUCUGAGAGGAAGGUCCCCCACAUUGGAACUGAGACACGGUCCAAACUCCUACGGGAGGCAGCAGUGAGGAAUAUUGGUCAAUGGGCGAGAGCCUGAACCAGCCAAGUAGCGUGCAGGAUGACGGCCCUAUGGGUUGUAAACUGCUUUUAUACAGGAAUAAAGUUAGCCACGUGUGGCUAUUUGUAGGUACUGUAUGAAUAAGGACCGGCUAAUUCCGUGCCAGCAGCCGCGGUAAUACGGAAGGUCCAGGCGUUAUCCGGAUUUAUUGGGUUUAAAGGGAGCGUAGGCCGUCUGUUAAGCGUGUUGUGAAAUGUAGAGGCCCAACCGCUGCACUGCUGUUGGAACUGGCGCCCUUGAGUGCACACGAGGCAUGCGGAAUUUGUGGUGUAGCGGUGAAAUGCUUAGAUAUCACGAAGAACUCCGAUUG